rnacentral:rRNA from 1 species
GACAGAGGUGCCGAGCGUUAGGCGGAAUCACUGGGCUUAAAGCGUGUGUAGGCGGAUCCGUAAGUACCUUGUGAAAUCCCACGGCUCAACCGUGGAACUGCUUGGUAUACUGCGGGUCUUGAGCCAUCUAGGGGCAACCGGAACAAACGGUGGAGCGGUGAAAUGCGUAGAUAUCGGAAGGAACACCAGUGGCGAAAGCGGCUUCCUGGUCCAGCACCGACGUUCAGGCACGAAAGCGUGGGGAGCAAACAGG